UUAUGAAUUGUUUUUGGAAUGCAUGCCUACUUUAAAGUGUUUAUAGCUUGCAUAUGUAUUCAAAUGUUCAUACUUGUUCUUAGCUAGGACAAAAUUUUUCCUUCAAGUGGUAUCAGAGCCUAGGCCUAGUGUAUGGUGAAUCCUUUUGGGUUUUGUGAUGUUCAUGAUUUGUGAUUUAAAUGUUGUAAAUGUUACAAGCUUUGUUCUUGCUUUUGAAUAUAUAAAUUUUGCUAGAAAAUUUAGCAUCUCAAAUGUUGUAGAUGUAUUUCAUUUAAGCAUGAAUAUUGGAACUAAAAUUUGGUGCCAUGUGUUUGGGAAAUUCGGCCAAAUCCUUAGGGUGACUUUUUGGGUUCAUGUUUGUCUUGUUAAAAUGGUUUUAAGGUGACUUUUGGAACCCCUAAGUACCCUAGGAUAUUAGCCCUCUUUUGAGAGGUGAAAAAUUGAGUUUUGGUGAAUGAAAACAUCCAUGGAGCUAUUAUGAGUUUUCAUGGUGUUCUUCAAAUGUUCUUGAAGUUCUUGCCAAGAACAAAAAGGUUUGAAGUUUUGAUUCAAAAGUUUUAUGUUUUUUCAUAAAGUUUUGGUUUAAUUUUGAUGGGUGAUGGAUAUUGGUGAAGCAUUAAAAUUGGAUUUAAUGUUUGU
rnacentral:lncRNA from 1 species